rnacentral:tRNA from 1 species
CGUAGGGGCUUAUAGUUUAAUUGGUUGAAACGUACCGCUCAUAACGGUAAUAUUGUAGGUUCGAGCCCUACUAAGUCUAG